AGCUUGUUCUCGGUCUCGAAACUUUUCUCGAGGAACCGGACUUGAUCAACAGUUAAACGCCUCUUUUUUUCAGGGUGAUGGAAGUAAUCAUCCAAGUCUUCAUCCCCAUUAUCUUCACUAUCGAAAGGGCAAAAGAACGAUCUAUUCGAUCCAUUUCCUCCACGAAUAUCUUCGAAACUCAUCAUGGAUCUUGAACCAAGCAGAGAAGGGGAAGUAGAAGAAGAUGACCCAGAAAGGAACAGAGCAUUAAGAGGCUCAGAAGCAAAAGACCCUCCACGAUUCUGAAGCAAAACACUAUGAUUAGAAGAAACACCACUUAUACUACCACCGUCGUCGCAACCACCGCCGCCGUAGACCCUCCGACCCGCCAUAAGCCUAAAGACAAAGAAAUGAUUCCUUCUUUCAAACUGCCA
rnacentral:misc_RNA from 1 species